GACGAACGCUGGCGGCGUGGAUUAGGCAUGCAAGUCGAACGGUAGGAUACCUUCGGGUAUCUGAGAGUGGCGAACGGGUGAGUAACACGUAGGUGAUCUACCCUCAAGAUUGGGACAACCCAGGGGAAACUUGGGGCUAAUACCGGAUGAAAGCAGCAGUGAUGUUGUUUGAAAGGUGGCGUAAGCUGCCGUUUGGGGAUGAGCCUGCGCUCUAUUAGUUAGUUGGCGGGGUAAAGGCCCACCAAGGCGAUGAUAGAUAGGCGGCCUUAACGGGUGGUCGCCCACACUGGGAUUGAGAUACGGCCCAGACUCCUACGGGAGGCAGCAGUCGAGAAUAGUCUACAAUGGCCGAAAGGCUGAUAGUGCGACGCCGCGUGAACGAAGAAGCCCUUCGGGGUGUAAAGUUCUUUUAUAUGUGAGCAGUGCUUUCUAUGUGAACAGCAUGGGGAGAGAGAUAUUAGCAUAUGAAUAAGCAACGGCUAACUCCGUG
rnacentral:rRNA from 1 species